AAUCCAUAGGUUAAUGAGGCGAACCGGGGGAACUGAAACAUCUAAGUACCCCGAGGAAAAGAAAUCAACCGAGAUUCCCCCAGUAGCGGCGAGCGAACGGGGAGGAGCCCAGAGCCUGAAUCAGCAUGUGUGUUAGUGGAAGCGUCUGGAAAGGCGCGCGAUACAGGGUGACAGCCCCGUACACAAAAGCGCAUGUGCUGUGAGCUCGAUGAGUAGGGCGGGACACGUGGUAUCCUGUCUGAAUAUGGGGGGACCAUCCUCCAAGGCUAAAUACUCCUGACUGACCGAUAGUGAACCAGUACCGUGAGGGAAAGGCGAAAAGAACCCCGGCGAGGGGAGUGAAAAAGAACCUGAAACCGUGUACGUACAAGCAGUGGGAGCACAGGUUUACCUGUGUGACUGCGUACCUUUUGUAUAAUGGGUCAGCGACUUAUAUUCUGUAGCAAGGUUAACCGAAUAGGGGAGCCGGAGGGAAACCGAGUCUUAAUUGGGCGUUAAGUUGCAGGGUAUAGACCCGAAACCCGGUGAUCUAGCCAUGGGCAGGUUGAAGGUUGGGUAACACUAACUGGAGGACCGAACCGACUAAUGUUGAAAAAUUAGCGGAUGACCUGUGGCUGGGGGUGAAAGGCCAAUCAAACCGGGAGAUAGCUGGUUCUCCCCGAAAGCUAUUUAGGUAGCGCCUCGUGAAUUCAUCUCCGGGGGUAGAGCACUGUUUCGGCUAGGGGGCCAUCCCGGCUUACCAACCCGAUGCAAACUGCGAAUACCGGAGAAUGUUAUCACGGGAGACACACGGCGGGUGCUAACGUCCGUCGUGAAGAGGGAAACAACCCAGACCGCCAGCUAAGGUCCCAAAGUCAUGGUUAAGUGGGAAACGAUGUGGGAAGGCCCAGACAGCCAGGAUGUUGGCUUAGAAGCAGCCAUCAUUUAAAGAAAGCGUAAUAGCUCACUGGUCGAGUCGGCCUGCGCGGAAGAUGUAACGGGGCUAAACCAUGCACCGAAGCUGCGGCAGCGACACUGUGUGUUGUUGGGUAGGGGAGCGUUCUGUAAGCCUGUGAAGGUGGCCUGUGAGGGUUGCUGGAGGUAUCAGAAGUGCGAAUGCUGACAUAAGUAACGAUAAAGCGGGUGAAAAGCCCGCUCGCCGGAAGACCAAGGGUUCCUGUCCAACGUUAAUCGGGGCAGGGUGAGUCGACCCCUAAGGCGAGGCCGAAAGGCGUAGUCGAUGGGAAACAGGUUAAUAUUCCUGUACUUGGUGUUACUGCGAAGGGGGGACGGAGAAGGCUAUGUU
rnacentral:rRNA from 1 species